rnacentral:misc_RNA from 1 species
UUAGUUAAAUUUUUGUAUAUAAGCAGUUUUCAGGUGAUAUUGUAAAAAAUCUAAAGAGUAUUUUAAGUCUUUUUUUCGUGACAUCUAUGGUAAAUAGUCAACGCCCCGUAAUUCCACACUGGUGUACAUACAUAGGGCAACUUUCCGCGACCACUGCUUACCAUCUCAAGUCCCAUAACAAUGAAAGCAAUCAUUUCUUCUGAUUUUACCAGGAGGCUCUAGUAAUCCCGCCUCUGCCCUGAUAUGCAUGCUUGCUUGCACCGUAGUGGAACCAUGGGGCAUUCUGGAGAAGCUUUGGCCUCGCAUCUGAGCCCAGCAAGAUCUAUCUAAAAAAUAUUUUUACAUUUCCACAAGAUCCGGCCGGCUUUCAACAUCCAACCCAGAAUCGUUCCUAGUAUAAUGAUAUUGUCACGCGCCACUGUCCUCCGAGGCGAGCUACUACUCGUAUAAUCAAAGCGGAUCUACGGAAAAUACCUAGCACGUCUGUUACAGUAUUUCAGUCACAGAAUCUUCCAGAACUUCAAGGCAAGGUAUAUAUAUAAAAAAAGGAAAAAUAAUUUUUGACAUUAAUAGAUCCUGGCAAAUCACUAUGUGCUAAUGAAGAUAUACAUUGCAAGACACCGAAGCAUUGCUAUGAUCUCGAUCAAUGGUUGUACUGUGUACCUAAACUUAUAUUUAGGUCUAAAUAAACAUUAAAGAAUGGAUGAUCAAAACCAUACAAAAGACAAUUGUUCACACACACACACACACACACACACAUGGAUGAGAAUCAGCAGUGGUGCAUGGAAAAUUACCCUUUGGUGAGAGAAAGUAUUAAGAGAUACGAGAGAUGGAGAAAGAUGGUAAGGGCCUAUGCACAUGCUUCGAUCACGUUUAUUUAUUUAUUUUUUUAUUUAUAAGUUUAAGUUACCAACAUAUAUAAGAAAUGAAUAUGUUGAUUACAUGAAUAUGUGUGAUGAUGCUUACCUAGAGUUACUGGCCCACAUUUUGAAAUACCUUACCUAAAUAACAAGGCUGUAGGUAGUUAGAUACGUAUAAUGACGUAAUGUUUUCACGGAUGUUUUCGUAGAUAAUGCAUACAAUUUUGAUGAAAUAUGAAUAACCAUAAAAAAAAAACAUCUUAAGAAACCUCAUUAACUAGAUAAACUAUUAUAACUAUGGCAAAAUUAUACGAUUGCUCAGUUGUCAUGUACCGUAAACGACAUUAUACAUGGCAUAGAAAUGAAGACAGAAAUGUUCAUCAGGGUGUGUAAGAAUGAGACUAAACACAUCAGUGGUUAAAGAAUGUGAUAAUAUAAGAGAGAGAGAGAGAGAGAGAGAGACACACACAAACUAGCUGUAUAGUUUGGCGGGCACACGGACUUUGCUCCCUGUAAACUCUCAACCAACCACGAAGAAACGGACGGAUUGAAGUAAUGAUCAAGCUGGAACGUUUAUUGUAGACAUGCUGGAAGAUUCACUAGUGUUGAAUUAAGUGUGAGGAAAGCUGUCAUCUAAAAUUACCUGCAGUUUGGGCCCUGGAAAUCCAGCAGGAACUGACGACACUGGCUGCCGUCGAGGUGAAGUGUGAAGCAUGGGUACCAGCAGCCUGCAGCAGCGUGUGGGUCGGUGGCUGGAGGAGCACCGUGGUGUGAUAGUGGUGCUGGUGGUACUUCCAUUAUCACUCAUUUUCCACUUCCUCAUGGAACUGAGACACUGGAUCUUCCGCAAGUAUGUGUCUGCCCCUGAGAAACAUGAUGAACGGGUCAGGAACAUCCAAAAACAAGUUUUAAGAUGGAAUACACAGCCAAAGGCCAAGAGGAAAUACAUGUGUACAGCUCGACCCAACUGGCAGUCCCUCUCCACCACCUUCUUCAGGAAGGAUUUAUGUCACAAGAUCAGUAUUCCUCUGUAUGAUAUCCUGGAGCUGAAAGAAUCCCGAAUGAGUGUGCGAGUGGAACCCAUGGUUAGUGUGGGUCAGGCCACUGCCUUCCUGGUGCCUCGCGGCUACACGCUGGCUGUCUGCCUGGAAGUGGCCGAAGCAACCUUGGGAGGCUUGGCCAUGGGGGUUGGCAUGACAACAUACUCCCAUAAGGUUGGACUCUAUCAGGAAAGCAUCAUUGCAUAUGAGGUGGUGCUGGCUGAUGGCUCAUUGGUCAGGGUCACAAAGGACAAUGAGUACAGUGACCUCUACUACACGUUGCCUUGGUCACAUGGCACACUGGGCUUCCUUGUGGCCCUUGAGCUGCAGAUUAUAAGAAUCAAGCCCCACUUGAAGCUGGAGUAUAUUCCUGUGAAGGGUCAGAAGCAAUACUGUGACAUGAUGAGGAAGUUAUCUGGGGCCCUUAACAAGAACAACCCAACACCUGACUACGUGGAAGGCACAGUGUUCUCUAAGGAUGAAGCCGUCAUCAUGGUUGGGAACUUUGCUGAUGUUCCAGACAAUGAGAGACACAAGAUUAAUCAUGUCACCAGGUGGUACAAGCCCUGGUUCUACAAACAUGUGGAGAGCUUCCUAAAGCGAGGCCGUGACCAUGAGUAUGUGCCGCUAGAAGACUACUUGCUGCGGCACAACCGUUCAAUCUUCUGGGUGGUUGAAACCAUGAUCCCCUUCGGCAAUAACCCUCUCUUCCGACUCCUAUGUGGGUGGUUACUGCCUCCCAAGAUUGCCUUCCUUAAGUUCACCACCACACCAGGAGUUCGUGCCAUGACUUUCACCAAACAGGUCUUCCAGGAUAUUGUCCUCCCUAUGAACCAGUUAGAAGACCAAAUUGACAUCUGUGAAGAGCUCUUUGACCUCUACCCAGUAUUGAUCUACCCAUGCAGGGUGUACAACCACGGCCCCCACAGGGGACAGCUGAGGCCACCUCGCCCAGAGCAGAUGGUGCCAGGAGCCAAUUAUGGUAUGUUCAAUGAUCUUGGCGUGUAUGGAGUGCCCAAACCAGUGAAGGAGAAGAAAAGGUUUGAUGCUGUGGAUGCCAUGAGAAAGAUGGAAAAAUUCACAGCUGAUGUUGGAGGCUACCCAUUCCUUUAUGCUGACACCUUUAUGACCCGAGAGGAGUUUGAGAAGAUGUUUGACCUGACAGCAUAUGAGCAAGUGCGUCGAAAGUACAGUGCUGAAGGAGCCUUCCCUCAUCUCCAUGAUAAGAUCAAGCCAGAGAUUGAUGUGUUUGCAGUUGGCAAGGAAUACAUUGAUCCUUUGUAGAUGAGAUAAAAAGCCAAUUAAGAGAAAUUAACUUGUGGACUUAAUUACUGCCAGUGUUUGUGAAUAUAUGAGGGCCUCAGAACCAUAGGGGGUUCAAGCACUGCCUCCCCAAUUUUCAAGGCAUUCAUAUCCGCAGAAUUGUACAACCCGACUGCUGAGCAUGCACCCAACACUAAGAGAUGUCUUCUUCCUGACAAAUGUACAGUUCCAGCUCCAUGGGUGCUGCAGGUUUUCCAGGAGAGGAUGCCUGAAACAGAGUAACAGAUAAUGACUGAGUAUCAUUGUGAUUUUUUGGGGAAGAGAUUCAAAAGUUUAUGACUGUUCAGAUUUGUUAUACUACAUAAUUCUGUUGGAUGGUUGUAAACUUGUGACUCUUGCUGUAAAUUAUAUUUGAAUUGAAACCUA